rnacentral:lncRNA from 1 species
UUCUUUUCUCACUUUGUUUGCCAACCAAAAGUACAAAAAUAUGUCACUAACAUCUUUUGGUUGUAGCUUGAGCAAUCACAAGAUCAAAAGCUUCAAGGAGGUCAUUGGUCAAUAGGAGGUGGAAGCAAGCAUGGUAAUGGUUCCCAAAGCUCUCAUCCAUCAAGUAUGCCCCCCUAGCAUCUUAAUUCAUCAGUUGGAUCAAAACAAGUCAAAAGGUUUGAGGUCUUGUUCUUCAGAGAAAUCCUAAUCCAUCUGUGCAUCACAAUGCCUUGCUUAG